GGUUUAUUAAAUUUUUAUUUAGUAUUUUUAAGUAUUCUCGAAUUUAAUAAGAGCUAUAAGAUUAAAUUGGUAUAUGUAGAAAAAUAUUAUUUAAUAAAUUUAUAGAAACGAAAAGUUACUCUAUUUUAAAUAUAUCUAGUUUUUUAAGAAAUUAAUUUAAUUAAAUUUUUUAUAUAAAAAAAUUUUAUUUAUUAAAAUUUUGUUUUUUAAAAGUUAUAAUAAAAGGGCUAAUCUUUUUAUUAGAUAUAAUAUAAUUUAAAGGUUUAAAUUGAUUUAAUAAAUAGAAUUAAAAGUUUUUAUUAAUAAAGAGUUAUAUCUAAUUUAUUUUUAUAUUAGAAUUUAUAUAAGGAUUUAUUUUUUUUUAUUAAAAAAUAAAAUUUAAUUGGGGUUUUUUAUUUAAAAUGAUAAAAUUAGUAUAAUAUAAAUUUUUAUAGAAAUUUGUGAUUUUUGAUUAAAGGUCAAUAAAAAGAAUUAGGCAAAUAAAUUUUCACCUGUUUAUUAAAAACAUGUCCUUUUGAUGUUUUAUAUAAGGUCUAGUCUGCUCCAUGAUUGAUAGUUAAAUAGCCGCAGUAUUUUGACUGUGCUAAGGUAGCAUAAUCAAUAGUUUAUUAAUUGUAAGCUUGAAUGAAGGAUUGGAUGAGAAAUUAACUAUUUUAAGUUGAAUUAGUUAGAAAUUUAUUUUUAAGUGAAAAAGCUUAAAUAUUUAUAAAAGACAAGAAGACCCUAUAGAGUUUUAUAAAAAUUUUAAUUUUUAUAAUUAAUGUGUUUACAUUUUAUGGUUAAAAUUAUAAUUGAUUGGGGUGAUUAAUAAAUUUAAUUAAUUUUAUUAUUUAAGUUUACAUUUUUAUAUGAAAAUUUUGAUCCUUAUAAGAAGAUUAAUAGAAAAAAUUACCUUAGGGAUAACAGCGUAAUUUUUUUUUAGAGUUCAGAUUAAAAAAAAAGUUUGCGACCUCGAUGUUGGAUUAAGAUUAAUUUAUUGGUGUAGGAGCUAUAAAAUUGGGUCUGUUCGACCUUUAAAAUCUUACAUGAUC
rnacentral:rRNA from 1 species